rnacentral:tRNA from 1 species
AAAGCAUUGGCGCGUAAAGCCAAAGAGCCCGGGUUCGAUUCCCGGCGGGGGUG